GGAGGGGUGCGAGCGUUAAUCGGAAUUACUGGGCGUAAAGCGCGCGUAGGGCGGUCUGAUCAGUCGGGAUGUGAAAGCCCUGGGCUUAACCUGGGAAUUGCAUUCGAUACUGUCAGGCUAGAGUAUGGGAGAGGGAAGUGGAAUUUCCGGUGUAGCGGUGAAAUGCGUAGAUAUCGGAAGGAACACCAGUGGCGAAGGCGACUUCCUGGCCCAAUACUGACGCUGAGGUGCGAAAGCGUGGGUAGCGAACAGGAUUAGAUACCCUGGUAGUCCACGCCGUAAACGAUGAGAACUAGAUGUCGGGAGGAUUUACCUCUCGGUGUCGCAGCUAACGCGUUAAGUUCUCCGCCUGGGGAGUACGCCGGCAACGGUA
rnacentral:rRNA from 1 species